CUGAAUUUAUUGCCCCGCACAAGGAUAUAAGAUCCGUGCUCCCUUCUCCUUUGAAUCGAAGGCCUCUUCAAAUUCCUUAAUGUAGGGUCGUUGCUUGCUUUUUCUUUUUAGGUGGUCUUCCCUUGCCCUUCCCCUCAGCGGAUUUGGAGCCCCCCCCUUACUCAACCUCUAUAAAAAGGCCCUUUCCCCUUUUCAUAAUAAUAAGGUCAGCUCCAGAACCGGCGGAAUUGCCCAAUCCUAUCUUUCCUUUCCUUGAAGUAAGCCCCGAGCGGGAGCAACUUCUACAGCAAAUUCAGACUAAACUGGAUCUCUUCUCUUGGCAGGGGGGGUUUAGGAGGUAUUUUUGAGCGCAUGUUGAUCAUUUCGAAAAAGCUGGUUUCGUCUCAUUUUCCGGAAAGCCAGUCAUACUAUUCCACUUUAGCUAAGCUAAUGAUGAAAGAGGAUCUGGAUUUGUCUGCAGAUC
rnacentral:lncRNA from 1 species